AAACAUACACAAAUUUAUAUAAUAAUUGAAUUGCCGAAUUAAGAUAGAAAUAAUAAGCUUUUUAUUUUUUUUCAUUUUACGCUACUGCUUUAUAAUUUAACGUUUAAAAUGAGUGUUAAAAGAAUAAAUAAAAUUAUCCUUUGUGCAAAAGUAGAACUAAAGUCUAUAGAGAAAAUAGAUUUUUAUGUAAACGUAACUAACCCUGUAGUAAAAGAUUUUUGCUGCUUCUUUUUACCUACACUAAAGUACAACAAUUUUAACAUACCAUACAACUUUUACCAAGCGAAAGAAAAGAACGAAAAAAUUGUUCUACAUCCACAAAAUAAAGACACACAUAUCAUCAAUUUAAAUUUAUACAAAUAUAGCCAACAGUUAUACGACAGGAUCAUUUUUUUGGACACGUGGUUUUAUGAGUCGAGGUCUUAACUUAGAUAUACAUAUAUACACUUGUAAAUUACGUACAUAUGA